rnacentral:rRNA from 1 species
GACGAACGCUGGCGGCGUGCUUAAUACAUGCAAGUCGAACGGACAGGCCCUGCUUUUGCUGCGUUCUCGUGUGCCGCACGCGUGUGUAACACGUGAGUAACCUCCCCUUGUCUUUGGGAUAUCUUCUGGAAACUGGGGCUCAUACCCGAUAGGAUCUCUUGCUCCAUGUUGUGCGUUGGAAAGUUUCGGCGGUUGGGGAUGGACUCGCGGCUUAUCCGCUUGUUGGUGGGGUAGUGGCUUACCAAGGCUUUGACGGGUAGCCGGCCUGAGAGGGUGACCGGCGACAUGGGGACUGAGAGACGGCGCAGACGCCUACGGGAGGCAGCAGUGGGAAAUAUGGCAGAAUGGGCGGAAGUGUGAUGUAGCAGCGCCGCGUGCGGGAUGACGGGCUACGGGUUGUAAACCGCUGUGGACUGAGACGAAGCGGGAGUGACGGUAAUGAGUAAAGAAGCAACGGCUAACUACGUG